UUACCAAGGCUUGACAUAUACAGGAAUAUGGCAGAGAUGUCAUAGCCGCAAGGUCUGUAUACAGGUGGUGCAUGGUUGUCGUCAGCUCGUGUCGUGAGAUGUUGGGUUAAGUCCCGCAACGAGCGCAACCCUCGUUCUGUGUUGCCAGCAUUUAGUUGGGGACUCACAGGAGACUGCCGGGGUUAACUCGGAGGAAGGUGGGGAUGACGUCAAAUCAUCAUGCCCCUUAUGUCUUGGGCUGCACGCAUGCUACAAUGGCUGGUACAAACGGCUGCGAUACCGCAAGGUGGAGCGAAUCCGAUAAAGCCAGUCUCAGUUCGGAUUGGGGUCUGCAACUCGACCCCAUGAAGUCGGAGUUGCUAGUAAUCGUAGAUCAGCAACGCUACGGUGAAUACGUUCCCGGGGCUUGUACACACCGCCCGUCACAUCACGAAAGUCGGUAACAC
rnacentral:rRNA from 1 species